rnacentral:rRNA from 1 species
GACGAACGCUGGCGGCGUGCUUAACACAUGCAAGUCGAGCGGUAAGGCCCUUUCGGGGGUACGACGAGCGGCGAACGGGUGAGUAACACGUGGGUGACCUGCCCUCAGCUCUGGGAUAAGCCUGGGAAACUAGGGUCUAAUACUGGAUAUGACUCCACGGUGCAUGUCGUGGGGUGGAAAGCCUUGUGCGGCUGAGGAUGGGCCCGCGGCCUAUCAGCUUGUUGGUGGGGUGAUGGCCUACCAAGGCGACGACGGGUAGCCGGCCUGAGAGGGCGACCGGCCACACUGGGACUGAGACACGGCCCAGACUCCUACGGGAGGCAGCAGUGGGGAAUCUUGCGCAAUGGGCGAAAGCCUGACGCAGCGACGCCGCGUGAGGGAUGACGGCCU